rnacentral:rRNA from 1 species
CAAUAGCGUAUAUUAAAGUUGUUGCGGUUAAAAAGCUCGUAGUUGGAUCUCGGCAGGCAGGGGGUGGUUCGCUCUUAGCGCUACUGCCCCAUUUGCCUGUGUGAUUGGCGGAGGUUUCGGGGUGCUCUUCGUUGAGUGACCCGGGGCGCCGUCAGGUUUACUUUGAAAAAAUUAGAGUGCUCAAAGCAGGCUUUUCACGCUUGAAUAUUCGUGCAUGGAAUAAUGGAAUAGGAACUCGUUUCUAUUUUGUUGGUUUUCGGAAAUCGAGUUAAUGAUUAAUAGGGACAAUUGGGGGCAUUAGUAUUCGGACGACAGAGGUGAAAUUCUUGGACCGUCUGAAGACUAACUACUGCGAAAGCAUUUGCCAAGAGUGUUUUCAUUAA